rnacentral:rRNA from 1 species
CUCCUGGAAACGGGUGGUAAUGCCGGAUGCUCCAGUUGAUCGCAUGGUCUUCUGGGAAAGCUUUCGCGGUAUGGGAUGGGGUCGCGUCCUAUCAGCUUGACGGCGGGGUAACGGCCCACCGUGGCUUCGACGGGUAGCCGGCCUGAGAGGGCGACCGGCCACAUUGGGACUGAGAUACGGCCCAGACUCCUACGGGAGGCAGCAGUGGGGAAUAUUGCACAAUGGGCGCAAGCCUGAUGCAGCGACGCCGCGUGAGGGAUGGAGGCCUUCGGGUUGUAAACCUCUUUUAUCGGGGAGCAAGCGAGAGUGAGUUUACCCGUUGAAUAAGCACCGGCUAACUACGUGCCAGCAGCCGCGGUAAUACGUAGGGUGCAAGCGUUAUCCGGAAUUAUUGGGCGUAAAGGGCUCGUAGGCGGUUCGUCGCGUCCGGUGUGAAAGUCCAUCGCUUAACGGUGGAUCCGCGCCGGGUACGGGCGGGCUUGAGUGCGGUAGGGGAGACUGGAAUUCCCGGUGUAACGGUGGAAUGUGUAGAUAUCGGGAAGAACA